GAAUUAGUUCAGUUGGUUAGAAUGCCAGAUUGUGACUCUGGAGGUCGCAGGUUCAAGUCCCGUAUUC
rnacentral:tRNA from 2 species